CCUACGGGAGGCUGCAGUGGGGGAUAUUGCACAAUGGGCGAAACCCUGAUGCAGCGACGCCGCGUGGGUGAAGAAGGUCUUCGGCUCGUAAAGCUCUGUUAUUAGGGAAGAAAAUGACGGUAACUGAAGAAGCAGCCCCGGCGAACCACGGUCCAGCAACCGCGGGAAAACGUAGGGGGAAAGCGUUUGCCGGGUUUACUGGGGGUAAAGGGGGCGGAGGCGGCGAUGCAAGCCAGGGGUGAAAGCCCAGGGCCCAACCCGGAGACUGCACUUGGAACUGGAUGGCUUGAGUGCAGGAGAGGCAGGCGGAAUUCCGGGUGUAGCGGUGAAAUGCGUAGAGAGUCGGAGGAACACCGGUGGCGAAGGCGGCCUGCUGGACUGCAACUGACGUUGAGGCGCGAAAGCGUGGGGAGCAAACAGGAUUAGAUACCCGAGUAGUC
rnacentral:rRNA from 1 species